rnacentral:rRNA from 1 species
UGGGGAAUUUUGCACAAUGGGGGAAACCCUGAUGCAGCGACGCCGCGUGAUUUAGAAGGCCUUCGGGUUGUAAAAAUCUUUUUUAUGGGAUGAAAAUGACAGUACUAUAAGAAUAAGGUCCGGCUAAAUACGUGCCAGCAGCCGCGGUAAUACGUAUGGACCGAGCGUUGUCCGGAAUCAUUGGGCGUAAAGGGUACGUAGGCGGCCCAGUAAGUUAGAAGUGAAAUAAUAUAGCUCAACUAUAUAAAGCUUUUAAAACUGCUAGGCUUGAGAGAUGGAAGGGAAAGUGGAAUUCCUAGUGUAGCGGUGAAAUGCGCAGAUAUUAGGAGGAAUACCGGUGGCGAAGGCGACUUUCUGGCCAUAAUCUGACGCUGAGGUACGAAAGCGUGGGUAGCAAACAGG